GACGAACGCUGGCGGCGUGCUUAACACAUGCAAGUCGAACGAUGAAGCUAGAGCUUGCUCUGGUGGAUUAGUGGCGAACGGGUGAGUAACACGUGAGUAACCUGCCCCGAACUCUGGGAUAACUGCUGGAAACGGUAGCUAAUACUGGAUACGACCAACGAAGGCAUCUUCUGUUGGUGGAAAGAAUUUCGGUUCGGGAUGGACUCGCGGCCUAUCAGCUUGUUGGUGAGGUAACGGCUCACCAAGGCGACGACGGGUAGCCGGCCUGAGAGGGUGAUCGGCCACACUGGGACUGAGACACGGCCCAGACUCCUACGGGAGGCAGCAGUGGGGAAUAUUGCACAAUGGGCGCAAGCCUGAUGCAGCAACGCCGCGUGAGGGACGACGGCCUUCGGGUUGUAAACCUCUUUUAGUAGGGAAGAAACAGCAGCUCUAACACAGUAUGCGAAUGACGGUACCUGAAGAAUAAGCACCGGCUAAC
rnacentral:rRNA from 1 species